AUCCUUUUGUAGUUCCUGAGCAUGAUGAUUGGGCGUUCACAAGCUUGUGUGAGAUGUGCCAUCUUGAACCUUGUUAUGACUCAGCACAUUACCCAUCUGACA